rnacentral:tRNA from 1 species
CGGAGAGUAGCUCAGCCUGGUAGAGCGCUGCGUUUGGGACGCAGAGGUCGCAGGUUCGAAUCCUGUCUCUCCGA